GCGCCCGUAGCUCAGCCGGAUAGAGCAGUGGACUUCUAAUCCGAAGGUCGCAGGUUCGAAUCCUGCCGGGCGCGCCA
rnacentral:tRNA from 1 species